CGGGAUCCGCCGCGUCCGCGGUGGACGCUGCCUAAGCUUUAGUACCGUCAGCCUCGCCGCUCCGCGCGGAACUUGGACGCCCGGAAUAGUCUCCGUCACGCGUCUUUACAAAAGUUUUUCAUCGCCCUUCGUCGCCGAAAUCAGACCGAUCUUGGCUUCGGGCGCGACAAGCGGGACGUAACCUCGUGUGUUCGUCGCGCUCCCGUUCGCAGCGAAAUCUCCACGAGGUUUCACCGGGUACCGGAAGAGGAAGCACGUCUGUCGUUCUUGGAUGGAGGUGGACACGGAGAACGUCGGCAUGGACGAGACGGACGCGUUGAUGAGAGCCGACGGCGACGGCGGCGGCGGCGGCAAUGACAUCGUCAACGUCGUCACCAGUAACGGCAACGACGACGAUGAGGCGCCCACCGUCGAGGAGACCUACGAGAUCACCACCACCAGGCGCAAGACCAUUCGCACCAGCUACAAGAUCCAGGAGACCUCUUCGUCGACCAAGACAACUACCAUGACGACGGCGGCCAAGUUGUACGGCAAGGAUCUGAGCGAAUAUGACGACAUUGACGUGGACCAGCUGCUGGCAGAGCUCACACCAGAGGAGCUCAAUAUCCUGGCCAAGGAAGUGGAUCCCGAUGACAGCUUUAUGCCACCUUCGCAACGUUGCAGUUACGAAUGCAAUAAGAGCCCCACAGGGCCGCUGAAUCGCAAGAAACUCAUCGAGCACAUCAACAAGCAAGCUCUAGAGACGCCCGAUAUUCCAGAAUUAAAACCAUUUGUACCUGGUGUAGUUAGGGGCAAAAAAUGGGUACCUCCGCCACAAGAUAACAUAAAGGAGAAGGAGGCGGACGAACAAAUCGCGAUAGAUCUCGGGGAGGAGUAUGAACAGGCGCUUUCAGCUGCCACCCAAGAAGAAAUUAUUGAUCUUGCUGCUAUUCUCGGAUUCCAUUCUAUGAUGAAUCAAGAUCAGUAUCAUGCGUCUCUACUGAAUUCUGGACAGCCAGUCGGACUCGGCUGGGACGGAGUGACAAAGGCUAGUCAACCGAAAGUUUUUCCGAUGGACCCGCCUAAUGACACGGACGUUGACGCUACUAUUAAACAAGUGCGGGACGACGACUCGUCUCUGACUGAUUUAAAUUGGAACAAUAUCAAAAAUAUUUCAGACGAAAAAUUUAUCCAGUUGUUUGAAGGUCUGGAAAUGAACACGCAUCUCGAGUCGCUGAGUUUAACAAACGUUGGGCUCAAUGACAAAACCGCGCAACGACUGGCCGAUGCCAUAGAGAAGAAUUCGACGCUCAGAGUACUCAACGUGGAGACGAAUUUCAUAAGCCCGCCUGUGAUAGUAAGGUUGAUCAGGUCCCUCCUUAAAACAAAGUCUAUCGAAGAAUUCCGAUGUUCGAAUCAGAGGUCACAAGUAUUGGGUAACAAGAUUGAGAUGGAAAUCACACAAUUGGUAGAGCAAAACCCGACGUUGCUGCGACUCGGGCUGCAUCUGGAGUUCAAUGACGCGAGACACCGCGUAGCUGCGCAUCUGCAACGCAAUAUCGAUAGGAUACGGAAAGAUCUAACGCUGCGGCUACAGUUCCGAUUCUUUAACAUGAACCACAGGAAACCUGCCUUGAUUCAAUGAAAGUACGGCAGUCCCGGCUCGGGGUGGCGACAUCUUAACGCGAAGUGGCGUUCGCCUAGAUCGCCUGCGCCGCACGGGAAGAGCUUCUCGUAACUACACCAUCGGCUGGGCCAUGCACUCAUGAUGAUCGCCACGACGUUGGCAACGGCGACGACGACGACAAUGACGACGACGACGAUGACGAUGACGACGAUGAUGAUGGGCUGAUAAGAGCGCACCGCGCCGUAAAACGGCCUCUACACGCGUACGCACAUGCGCACACACGCAUACACGCAUACAUACGUCAUUACGCAGCGCACCGUCGAGUCCCUGGGACCUCCUCCGGAUGCGUAGAACCUUUGUACUCGUGGAGAUCCGCUCUGAAAUCUCAUUAACGGACACAUUGAAAUCAUCCGAUAUGAAUGUGCGGAGGAAAAAAAGUCGGAAGCUUCGCAUGACAAAUUUUAUGUGGAUGUCUCUCGUCUUUGUUGUGUUCUAAAUAAAUAAAUAAAUAUAUAUAUAUAUAUAUACAUAUAUAUAUAUAUACACAUACAUUUAUAUAAAUAUAUAUUCCUGCAUCACACAUACAGAUAUCACUAUACAUAUACCGCGCGAAAGAUAUACUCCAAUGACGCAUUAUGAUGUAAUAAAUUUAGACCAUCGAAUGAACGUAUUGAUAAUGUUAAUUGACACAUACAUACAUAUAUAUACGUUGUAUAUACAUGUUACAACGUACAUAUAAUUGUAAGUCGUCGGGAAUAAGUUUGUGGGAAAUAAACUAUAAAAGGAGCCUGUAAGAUGAGCCGAAGGGACAUCCUUUUUUGAUAUGAUAUAUACACGCCGUUCGCUUUAAAGUACGGUUGCUUAACCGGAUUAUUUAAAUAUUUAUACACAGAGGAGAGGAGUUCUUUAAUUAAUUCGACCAAACUUUCGACCGGGUGCGACUGAGCGAUCGGGUACAAACUAUGCUGCGUUUUUUCUUUAUUUCUUUUCUCUUUUCUUUUUUCAAAAUUCUUUUACAUUAUCGUCACCAUUUGAUAAAACAGUUCAUUAUGCACCGGCAAAUAGCUAUGUCCAAAUGAUUUUAAUGCGUCACUUAGGUAAGUAUCAGAAAUGUAAAAAUUAGAAGAUAAAAUGUCUCAAAUUAAAAUGAGUGUAAAGAGUAACAGGAAACAAUACGAUUUCGUUAUUUUUAUUAUUUUAUCUUUCGUUAUUUUAUCUUAAAAUUUUUGUAUGUAAUUACUUCUUUAUGUUUCUUUUAAAUGCUGUUUGUCAUUAAAGCGUUAGUGAUUGAUGAUAUUAAUACUGCUUUAAAAUGCGAUACAUUUGCUCAAAAUUAAUUAUGAACAAAUUUCUCAUUAGAUAGAAAUAAAGAAGACAAUACCACUGACCCGAUCGUUCCGCUCGGCAUGUAAUGUUACUGUAAUAUUUGCUAAGGUACUAACUCGUUUAAAUUAAUAAUUAUUUUAGCAUAUAUACAUGUAUACAAUCAAUCUGUACAUAUUGUCUUCUCAGUGUCGUUUCUAAUCGAUCGAUGUGACCUGUACGUGUAACGAGAGAGAAUGUAGAUUUAUUAUACACGCACGUGAGGGAAAGUAACAUAAUUGUGUCUCUGUGUACAUGCGGGUGUGAAUGAGAGUGAGAGAAAGGGGCGGGAAUAUACGUGGAUGAAGAAUGAAUUAAUGCGGAAAAGUCUUGUGUUCAUUUCUAUCACAUAGUAUUAAUUUUGAUCUCUAUAUAACCAAUAGCUAUUUGCAUGUUAAAACAAUUAUUAUAUAAAUAUAUUAUAGUUGGCAUCGAAAAUGAGUCUAUAUAUUAUAUUAAAAUUAUAGUAGUUGCUCUCAGUGUAGAAUUUUAAGAAUUAGAAAAAAUGAAUAAAUUAAACCGAGAUUGAAAUUAAUCUACAUUGGUGGAAAUGGACAUUACUGAUGUAGCUCACGCUGAUUGUUGUACGUACGUAUCGUAUGUAUUCAGGGUAAUUGAAUUCACGAAAAUAUGUGCAUCUCAAAGUACUAUUGCGCUGUAAAACAAUUUUAGAACUGUAGAGAGAGAUUUUAUAUCCUCUGCGAGAAUAUAAAGUCAAUAUGAACUGUCGCAAUUAACAGAUUAUAAUUUAAGUAACCCGCACUGUCUUCGCACUUUCGGAACGCGUGUCGACUUUUUAGAACUCCAUCGAUUCCAAGAAUUUUCGAGUUUCUUAAAAUAUUCGGAUUUUUUCCAUGUUCUACGCUUUUCCACGUAAACGAUAUGCCAAGUUUUCUUGGAGAUGAAAAAGAGGGGAGGAAAAAACAACAUUGUAACUUGGUUCGCUCGCGGCCUUCCAGCGAUCGUUCUUGUAAUCGUGUUAUAUUCGCAUAUGUACUCUGUCACACGCGUCACAUUACGUAAAACACACGAAACCUAAAUGCACGCGCACGAUCAAAGCCUUGCUGCUAGCCUUUUAUCUUGUAACACGAGGUUUAAAAUAAACUGCUGAAGAAAA
rnacentral:misc_RNA from 1 species